rnacentral:tRNA from 1 species
GCCAAGGUCACCUAACAUGGUAUGGUGGUGGUCUCAAAAACCACGAGGCUGUGAACGGCCUUUCGGGGUUCAAAUCCCCGCCUUGGCG